AAUAGCCCUCCAUCAGACCGUACCCUAAACCGACACAGGUGGAUAGGUAGAGUAUACCAAGGCGCUUGAGAGAACUAUGUUGAAGGAACUCGGCAAAAUACCUCCGUAAGUUCGCGAGAAGGAGGCCCGGUUUCUAGGCAACUGGAAGCUGGGGGCACAAACCAGGGGGUGGCGACUGUUUACUAAAAACACAGGGCUCUGCGAAGUCGCAAGACGACGUAUAGGGUCUGACGCCUGCCCGGUGCCUGAAGGUUAAAAGGAGGGGUGAGAGCUCCGAAUUGAAGCCCAGGUAAACGGCGGCCGUAACUAUAACGGUCCUAAGGUAGCGAAAUUCCUUGUCGGGUAAGUUCCGACCUGCACGAAUGGCGUAACGACUUCCCCGCUGUCUCCAACAUAGACUCAGUGAAAUUGAAUUGCCUGUCAAGAUGCAGGCUUCCCGCGGUUAGACGGAAAGACCCCGUGCACCUUUACUACAACUUUACACUGAUAACAGGCACAACAUGUGCAGAAUAGGUGGUAGGCUUUGAAGCAGAAACGCCAGUUUUUGUGGAGCCUCCUUUGAGAUACCACCCUUGUUUUGCUUGUUAUCUAACUGCGGUCCGUUAUCCGGAUCCAGGACCCUGUAUGGUGGGUAGUUUGACUGGGGCGGUAAGGGC
rnacentral:rRNA from 1 species